rnacentral:tRNA from 1 species
GCCUUCAUAGCUCAGCAGGUAGAGCACCACCAUGGUAAGGUGGGGGUCUGCAGUUCGAAUCUGCAUGAAGGCU